AGUGAACGCUGGCGGUAGGCCUAACACAUGCAAGUCGAACGGCAGCACAGUAAGCUCUUGCUCUUACGGGUGGCGAGUGGCGGACGGGUAAGGCAUGCAUCACAAUCUUCUUUUUCUUGGGGGAUAUCGGGGAGAAGCUGAUGAUAACACCGCAUACGAUCUACGGCUGAAAGCAGGGGUUCUUCACACCUUUCGUGAUUCUAUGAGCCGGAUUCGGGUUAGCUAGUUUGCGGGGUAAAGGCCCACCAAGGCGACGAUCCGUAGCUGGUCUGAGAGGGUGAUCGGCCACACUGGAACUGAGACACGGUCCAGACUCCUACGGGAGGCAGCAGUGGGGAAUAUUGGGCAAUGGGCGCAAGCCUGAUCCAGCAAUACCGCGUGAGUGAAGAAGGCCUUCGGGUUGUAAAGCUCUUUUGUUGGGAAAGAACAGCAGCAGGUUAAUACCCCGCUGUUCUGACGGUACCCAAAGAAUAAGCAACGGCUAACUUCGUG
rnacentral:rRNA from 1 species